CCCUUCCUCCGUCCCUGCAGCCCGACGAGCCAGCCGUGAGAUAUCCUGGUCUCCAGCUACCUCAGGCCCUCCUCGCCACCGUCCAGGGAGCGCCGCAUAGAUUCCACACCCACGGGAGCCAGUAGUCCCAUGGCAAGGAGGAUAGUCUAGGACUGAAUCUGAUUCUAUGAGAAGUGUCAUCCCUCUCUUUGGACUAUUAUGAUGCCCUGUAAGUACUCAUCUCAUCUAAUCUGUUUGCAGGUUCCUGCGUUUGACUGAUGAGCUCGCAAACUGAACAGGGGAUAACAAGAAUGAGAUCAACCAACUGAUCCCAAGAGCGAGGGAGCGAGAUUAAAGACGUUUUAGGCUUUGUUGCCCGUUGCCUGACUACGGUUCGUAUGCCGAUUACUUUUGACUUACACCAUGUACAUACUACCCCUUCUUGAUGAACAAAAAGCCAAUCUUGAAUUUUCGUCACAAAAAUGCCAAUUCAUAAUAGAAGGAUCAAACAUAUGCUUCUGCCCAGAAUUUGAAAUCAUUGGCUCAGUGAACUGCAGUCCUUUCAAUAACUAUUUAUGAUUGUACCAUACCUAUUAUCAUUUUCAUUGUACUACUUUGGAGCAAAAUUCAAGUUAAUUUUCGGACAAGGAUUUGUUUCUGUUAGUAGGUGGGGUGUCUCUUCACUCUCUUGAGUUGGAGCAUCUGAGGUUAUCCUGUUACCGGAAUUGCUAUGUGUUUGAUUGCUUCUUCUAUAUGAUUCCUUUAGAUGAACUGAUAAUUCACAUCAAUGCGUAGAACAAAUUCCAGUUAUUAAUUACAUCGCUAUGUUUUACCGGUUUCUCCGUUGGGGGUUUCUCAUACUUUAGCUUGUUUUACUAAUUGACGAAUGUUUGUUGUGUCUGCGGUUGCUCUGUUUAUUUUGUUGUCAUCUUUGUUGGUAGUUGAUUUCUCAACAUGCUAUCUUCAUUAUGAGAUUUCCUUUCAUCUUGUGUAUACCAAUAUUGCAAAGCUAUGCCUAGAAUUUUCUGAUGUGUACACAGGUAUGAUGCCUAUAAUAGGAGGCUCUAGUUUAAUUAUCUAGUUAAUCAGCAAGGAAAAGAGUUCUGUUAUCUUUACAUUGUAGUUCCAUUUGAUUAUUGUUGAUUGACGUUUUGGAUAUGCAGGAUCUUAUCGGAUUUCGAGAACGGGACCGUUGGUUGUGAGUCUUAUUGGAAAGGUAUCAGUAUGACUGGAUCAAGCAUUCAUAAAUGUUACUGUAUUUAAAAUUCUAGUCAUGCGCUGCUAGUGUAAAAAAUUGGUACUCUGUUAUAUGGGUUCUUGUAUAUUAUUACAUCCCUUAAUAUUCAUGCGAAGAAAAACAAUAUGUAAUCUCCAACCAAGUGUGUAUGGGGACCCGAUGAUGUCACGGAACUAUGCUAUAUUGACUGCUCUAGCAUCUCAAAUGGACGACUUGACACAGGACUGAUGAUGUUAUGCUUGACUAUGUCGUAGUAUUUCUUACAAGAUCUUUUUUUUCUUAAUGUCAGGAUAAUCAAAGGGUACAAGAGGCUGCUUUGAAGCUGUCAGGUAGCUUUGAAGGACAAUUUUCCCAGGUUGACGGUUGCAAAUAGGCUGUCAAAGUCUACACACCUCCAUAUUCCUCCCACAUUCUUUCUGCUCGAAGUUCUGAAAUUGUGCAGAUCUAACUGUGCAAUGCGGUGCUCAGAUGCCUUAAACCACCCAGCUACCACUCUGAAGCCCCAGAAAUUGUUUAGGAAACAUACAAAUUUUGUAUUUAGACCCAUUUAGAAAUGAAUUGACAAGUGCAGAUGCUGAGGGCUUCGGCUAGUAACAACUUAACAUGGGUAGCUUUGCCGGCUAUUUUGACUGGGCUAAGAAACACUGUUAUUUUGUGGAAAAUUAAUUGAAGUUGAUUAUAGCACGGCUUUCUUAUUUGAUCCAAGUGUGCAAUGCUUGAUUUGUUUUUUCCUUUCCGCGGUAAUGCUUGAUUUGCUGACGUUUCUGAUGUAUCUUUUCUUUUUUGAAUCUGCCAGCCCGUUAAUUCCUUGUUUUAUGAUUGUGUCAGCGACAACUUACAGCUAAAAUAAAUAGGUAUUCCCUCUAUCCCAAUAUUAUGUACUUCUGUAAUUUUCAUGGAGCUAUGAAAAAUAAUACAAAUAUCUUCGCCUCUUAGGACUGGCUGACUUUGUUGAUGUUGGUCACACAUGUGCUGUCUAGCUGUUUAUAGAGCACCUGAUUUUAUCAUUAGAUUUAGUGGUCUCUUUUCUACAGUUCUUCCAGCAACUGGUUGUAUAUGAACUGAUACUGUGAUACUCUAUUCUCCUUUCUGUAAUGAUGAUGCUGUAAUUUUAAAUUCAGCUAGUUUCUUGUAUCUUGCCUUACAUGAGGAAUCAUCAAUAUCUGAUCUUUAUCUUGUUUAAUCUAGGUAGCAGCCUCUGUAUCACUGCAAUCUGACAAAGUGGAGGGCCUAGAAGGUGAAGCUUCUUUUAUGUCUGAACAAGCAUCGGUUUUUAAUUAACAGUAAUCCAUGAUCAGCAACAGUUUCUUUCACUAAUUUUCAGUUAACAGCAAUCCAUGAUAUUUUUUCACCAUGAUCAGCAGCAGUUUUUGUAUUAAAAUGAAUGUAUUCCAUGAAUUUUAAGUUAACAACUGAAUUUACUCCUUUAUUGGCAUUGUCAUGAUUCAGUUAACACUAAAUCAACUUCAUUAAUUUUCAGGUACAGUAUUCUGACGGAGUACCUUCUUCAUAGUGCAGAGGAGCAAAAUUGUUCUAAUCAGCAGCAGCACAGCACAGUCACUUGGAUCAGCGGAAGAGGAGAAUCAGCAGCACGGGCAGAGGAGCAGCAUCAGCUAGUUCUUCAGGUACAAUGGAAAGCAAGCAAGCUUAUAUCUGAAAAAUGAGUUAGCUAGGCUCAGAAUUUUGAG
rnacentral:lncRNA from 1 species